ACGAACGCUGGCGGCGUGCCUAAUACAUGCAAGUUGAGCGCUGAAGGUUGGUACUUGUACCAACUGGAUGAGCAGCGAACGGAUGAGUAACGCGUGGGGAAUCUGCCUUUGAGCGGGGGACAACAUUUGGAAACGAAUGCUAAUACCGCAUAAAAACUUUAAACACAAGUUUUAAGUUUGAAAGAUGCAAUUGCAUCACUCAAAGAUGAUCCCGCGUUGUAUUAGCUAGUUGGUGAGGUAAAGGCUCACCAAGGCGAUGAUACAUAGCCGACCUGAGAGGGUGAUCGGCCACAUUGGGACUGAGACACGGCCCAAACUCCUACGGGAGGCAGCAGUAGGGAAUCUUCGGCAAUGGACGAAAGUCUGACCGAGCAACGCCGCGUGAGUGAAGAAGGUUUUCGGAUCGUAAAACUCUGUUGGUAGAGAAGAACGUUGGUGAGAGUGGAAAGCUCAUCAAGUGACGGUAACUACCCAGAAAGGGACGGCUAACUACGUG
rnacentral:rRNA from 1 species